rnacentral:rRNA from 1 species
AUUGAACGCUAGCGGCAGGCUUAAUACAUGCAAGUCGAGGGGCAGCAUGAUUGUAGCAAUACAAUUGAUGGCGACCGGCAAACGGGUGCGGAACACGUACACAACCUUCCAAUAAGUGGGGAAUAGCCCAGAGAAAUUUGGAUUAAUACCCCGUAACAUAACGAUGUGGCAUCACAUUGUUAUUAUAGAUUUUUCGCUUAUUGAUGGGUGUGCGGCUGAUUAGAUAGUUGGCGGGGUAACGGCCCACCAAGUCUACGAUCAGUAGCUGAUUUGAAAGCAGGAUCAGCCACACGGGCACUGAGACACGGGCCCGACUCCUACGGGAGGCAGCAGUAAGGAAUAUUGGACAAUGGACGCAAGUCUGAUCCAGCCAUGCCGCGUGAAGGAUUAAGGUCCUCUGGAUUGUAAACUUCUUUUAUAAGGGACGAAAAAAGGCUUUUCUAAGUCGUCUGACGGUACCUUAUGAGUAAGCACCGGCUAACUCCGUGCCAGCCGCCGCGGUAAGAC